GGUCCGGGGGUUCUGUGGGCGUCGCGCUGCCGCGCCCCUCACUAGGGACGUGAUCAUUCCUUCUGUGAUCCAGCAGCAGCUGAAGUAUUCCUGAAAGGAAACCGGUUGAACAUACAUGUAUUCCAGCAGACAGGCUUGUGGCUAGCAGGAAGGACUGGCUGACUGGAACUGGAACCAGUGAAAAAUCUGUUUCAGUCAUUGAAAACUGAGGAUACUGGAAAAUACAAUGUUUCAGUCAUCGCAGAUUGAAGAUACUGGAAAAUAUGUAAAAAUAGAUUCAUUUAUUAAAAGCACAUUUAUUUUGUUUUCUCACUUUUUCCUAUUAUAAUUGCAAAACCUUCUGAAAGUUGUCGUUCAGCAAAACUGUGAAGUAUAUCUAGGUACAGUAAAUGAAUUAUGCAAAUCAUUUUAUUGAAAGAACAUGCAUAUUCAUGUAUACAUAUUAUUUGCCUGGUCUUCCUAUUACACGUGCAACCUGUAGUAAAAUCCUAGUUUGUUAAAGCAAAGAAAUGCUCUAGAGACUCCAGAUUACUGACUGAUAUGGUAGAAAUCUGUCAUGUUUGUGUAGGGCACAUGGAGCUUGAAUAUAUUAAUAUGAAUAAAUAUUAAAAUGUUAAACAUUAUUUUUCAUGGGUUUAGGUUG